CCUACGGGUGGCAGCAGUGAGGAAUAUUGGUCAAUGGACGAGAGUCUGAACCAGCCAAGUAGCGUGAAGGAUGACUGCCCUAUGGGUUGUAAACUUCGUUUAUAUGGGAAUAAAAUGUACCAAGUGGGGGAUUUUGUAUGUACCAUAUGAAUAAGGAUCGGCUAACUCCGUGCCAGCAGCCGCGGUAAUACGGAGGAUCCGAGCGUUAGCCGGAUUUAUGGGGUUUAAAGGGAGCGUAGGUGGCUUGUUAAGUCAGUUGUGACAGUUUGCGGCUCAACCGUAAAAUUGCAGUUGAAACGGGCAGUCUUGAGUACAGUAGAGGUGGGCGGAAUUCGUUGUGUAGCGG
rnacentral:rRNA from 1 species